GUUUGUUUUCUACUUUCCUUUUGUUUCAGUCUGGACCUGCAGCAGUGUUUCAAGUCUCUGCCCUUUCUUGCAGGUAAGUGCUAUUGUGGUUUAGUGUGGCUGUUUUUAGCGAACAUUAGGCAGUGUAGGACCUGCCAGAUAUGGGGUACAUUGGCGUUGUUGGCAGGCUUAUGCAAUGUAUGAUCAUAUAAUGUAACUAAAUCCCCAUACUUUUCAUAUAUAGUGCUUAGUUAUGUCUCCUCUUGUUUUACCUUGUAUCUCUUGUCUUGUUUUAUUUAGUCUUGUAAUCCCAGUCCAUGUACAGUCCUGUCCAGUCAUGCCCAUGUUAUGUUCUUGUUUUCCUCAUGUCUUGUGUACAUGUUCUAAGUUAAAGAAAAACAUUAUGAC